UUUUGAUGACGUCAUCACAAAAAGAGUAUAAAAGGCGUCAUGAACGCGACGGUCAGUCUUUCCCUCUCUGACAGCGAGCGCCACGCUGCUCUGGUCCACCUGCUGAGCCAGCCGCACUCCGUUCCACAACUGACAAGCGUCAAGUUGCACUUUGGGAGUGUUCCCAACUUGCAAGCUAAAAAGUUUGCAGAAGCUAGCGUUAGCAGUUAGCGUCUUCAACGACCACCAAAACGCAUUUCUUUGGCGUGCAUUUUGGUGCAACGAUAUAACUAAAGCUUUUAACGCAACGUCUGGACGACAGCGCCGUUUGGCCGAAGGUGCAAACCCUUAAAACGAGCCCGUCAUGGCCGACUGACUUUCUGCCUGCAUCUGGAGCAGAGGAAGCAGCUUGACUGCAAAUUGGCAAAAAAUAUUUUUAUUAGCAAGGCAUCUUGUCAAAUUGAAAGUUAACAUUGGUUCUUUUUCUUUUGUCUGCAGGGUCCAAAAUGGCCGCCUUGCAGUUCCUGCAUGGCUUCAUGAGACACUUGCAGACCAGCGAGCUGUGGUUGGAGAGACGUCCGGCGCUGCCCUCCAUUCGUCAGUGGUGUGGCCAAAGGACCUAGUUUCUGCAGCGUGGAGCUACAAGGUUUUGAACCUGUGCAAUCAUCAACGUGCUGACAGGUGAUAACUUAUUACUAACUUGGCAUUGUUUAAAAGCAGUUACCUGCUUUUUAUGCCUCCCUCUUCCUGCAGAGCAGUUUCCAGUAAGGAUGCAGUUGGAAAAUCUGCCACCUACUGGCCAAAGGAGUCCACCCUGGAGAGCAGAGGUGACAAAUCCUGGUCUGCAAAGCCUGCCACAACUACUCUGCGCUCGUUCACCUGGUCCCAUGCUGCCUGAAGAGCCAGCUGCUGUGUGGAGCACCAUCAAAUACCUGCUCGCAGCAGAAGCUGAGGACCAGAACAAAGCCACAGACCAGCAGCACUUCAAUUUCCUUGUUACUGCCUCAGCAACCUGAGAAAAAGCAAGGAACAAAAUCGAUUUCCUGGGUCAUGCAGCAAGGAACAAAAUCAGCUUCCUGGUCAUGCAGCUUGCAAAACUCAUCAUGAAAUCUUCUGCACUGGCAUGGAGUAACACUCAUCCCACUGGCCAACCACCCGUCCAUCUGACUGACCACUCGUCACUCUGGCCGACAACUUCACCACUCGGCAAUAAGCAGAUUGCGAUUAUUUACUCUGCAAAAGAAUAAAACUGUAUUCCAAAU